GAUGUGGUUAAUGAUGUUCCCUCUUUCCCCGACAUAUCGACCAUGGUGAUACAAAUAUGUAUUAAGCCAAAUCAGUCUGAAACCACUCC